GAGUCCUUAGCUCAACUGGAUAGAGAAACAUUUUUCUAAACUGUAGGUUGCGAGUUCAAUUUCCGCAUGGUUCA
rnacentral:tRNA from 2 species